CGUGUAGGCGGUUUGGUAAGUCUGAUGUGAAAGCCCCGGGCUCAACCCGGGAAGUGCAUUGGAAACUGUCAGACUUGAAUACGGGAGAGGGUAGUGGAAUUCCUGGUGUAGGAGUGAAAUCCGUAGAUAUCAGGAGGAACACCGGUGGCGAAGGCGGCUGCCUGGACCGAUAUUGACGCUGAGACGCGAAAGCGUGGGUAGCAAACAGGAUUAGAUACCCUGGUAGUCCACGCCGUAAACGAUGAGUACUAGGUGUUGCGGGUAUUGACCCCUGCAGUGCCGCAGCUAACGCAUUAAGUACUCCGCCUGGGAAGUACGGUCGCAGGACUAAA
rnacentral:rRNA from 1 species